UUUCACUAUCCAUAACAGUGGGAUUUAGCUGUCUUUCAGACUGCCUUGUUCCUCAAGGGUAACACCUCGUAUGGUUUUGAUAUAUGUUGAAACAUGGUUCUGCUGUAUAUUAUUUCUUAAAUACAAUAUUGCACAUAGAUAUUCAGUCAACAUGGAUCAGGUACAUCAUACAUAGAUGAUAUAUCAAUGCAAUGGAUAUAAUCUUUCCACAGCAUCGUUUUCAAUCUUUUUCAAUGAAAUUUGAAAUAUGAUUAUGUCUAACUUUUGAGAAUAGACUAUAGGUAGUGCAUGUAAAAUAAAUACACCGACUACUGCUUCAGGAAACUCCUACAAACACUGCCCUGUGCAAACAUUGACAAACAUCACCAAUAUCCAACCAGAAGACAAAUCCUAACUUAAUGAAAACCAAACAUAUUUGAUCAUAAUAUAUGUGCAUUAAAUGUUAAGCGUUAAAAACUGUGAAGUGCCACAUAGAACAUGACUAUUUAACCAUAGUAUUUAGACUAUUUAGACCUGUUACACCAGUAACGAAAAACUUAUAAUUGCACUAGUACUAUUUUAUCAUUUGGACAGCUCUUCUUUCCCUUCCAUUUUGUAGUUUUUGCUCUGUUUUUAAAUGUAUAUAUAAUUUUUUAACAUUUUCAACACUUGGAGUACCUGGAGGAAUAUUUGUUAGGAACACAAUAAUUGUAGAAAUAAUGUAGAAUUUAAACCAGAAACAAUAUUUCUGCAAGACAGAACGUUGGCAUUUGAAGUACAUGUGAUCAAUUUAAGACAAAUUUGUUCAAAGCAGAACAACCUUUCUUGAAAAGCUCUUCUACUUUAUCUGAAUAAUUUGGUUUCAUUUUUUAUGAACAACAAAGGCCUAUGAGGCGUACAAACCUGAAACAAAAAUUCACCUGAGGGCAGGUUUCAAAACAAGAACCUUAAUUAUAUAGGAUUUGGACAUUUUAUACAAAUUUGCUAAAUGUAUGUUACUAGCGGUAGCGGCGAUGAACAGACUGAAGGAGGGGAUGGUGACCCAGGGUCCUUGCAGGCUUCCAAACAGAUGAAAGAACCCAAGACUCCAACAGAAUAUCCUCUGAGUCCAUCAAAAUCAUUCCCAAAGAAGAAAGGGAGAAACCCAAGUAAGAGUGACAAGAAAGCAAGCAGGUUCACCACACCGGGCUACGGGUACUUUAUACAGCCGGAAGACCUCCUUGGUAUAAUACUCACGGUGAACUUAAAGAUGCAUUUGUUAUAGGUGUAUAUGGUGGGAGUGCAUCUGGUAAGACAACAGUUGCGAAGAGAAUUAUUGAAGCAUUAGAUGUACCCUGGGUCAGUUUACUUAGUAUGGAUUCCUUCUACAAGGUACUUGGGGAGAAAGAACAUGAAGCAGCUAACAGAAACGAGUACAAUUUUGACCACCCAGAUGCCUUUGACUUUGAGCUGCUCACCAAAACACUGCGGAGACUGCGGUCCGGAAAGAAAGUAGAUGUACCAGUGUAUAAUUUUGUCACACAUGCUAGAGAAAGUCAAAGU
rnacentral:lncRNA from 1 species